UACGGAGGAUGCAAGCGUUAUCCGGAAUGAUUGGGCGUAAAGCGUCCGCAGGUGGCAAUGUAAGUCUGCUGUUAAAGAGUCUAGCUCAACUAGAUAAAAGCAGUGGAAACUACAUAGCUAGAGUACGUUCGGGGCAGAGGGAAUUCCUGGUGUAGCGGUGAAAUGCGUAGAGAUCAGGAAGAACACCAGUGGCGAAGGCGCUCUGCUGGACCUUAACUGACACUGAGGGACGAAAGCUAGGGGAGCGAAUGGG
rnacentral:rRNA from 1 species